rnacentral:rRNA from 1 species
GAAACAGGUGCUAAUACCGCAUAAGACCACAAUGUCGCAUGACGAAGGGGUCAAAGGAAAAUCGCUUUGGGAGGGGUUCGCGUCCCAUUAGGUAGUAGGCGGGGUAACGGCCCACCUAGCCGACGAUGGGUAGCCGAGCUGAGAGGCUGAUCGGCCACACUGGAACUGAGACACGGUCCAGACUCCUACGGGAGGCAGCAGUGGGGAAUAUUGGGCAAUGGGCGCAAGCCUGACCCAGCAACGCCGCGUGAGGGAAGAAGGUUUUCGGAUUGUAAACCUCUGUCGCAGAAGACGAAGGAAGUGACGGUAUUCUGUGAGGAAGCCCCGGCUAACUACGUGCCAGCAGCCGCGGUAAUACGUAGGGGGCGAGCGUUGUCCGGAAUUACUGGGCGUAAAGGGAGCGUAGGCGGUCUGAUAAGUUGGAUGUGAAAUACCCGGGCUUAACUUGGGGGGUGCAUCCAAUACUGUUGGACUAGAGUACAGGAGAGGAAAGCGGAAUUCCUAGUGUAGCGGUGAAAUGCGUAGAUAUUAGGAGGAACAUCGGUGGCGAAGGCGGCUUUCUGGACUGCAACUGACGCUGAGGCUCGAAAGCGUGGGGAGCAAACAGGAUUAGAUACCCUGGUAGUCCACGCUGUAAACG